rnacentral:rRNA from 1 species
AGAGUUUGAUCAUGGCUCAGAGUAAACGUUGGCGGCGUGCCUAACACAUGCAAGUCGUACGAUCCUUAAGUGGCUUGCCAUUUAAGGAGAGUGGCGAACGGGUGAGUAACACGUGAGUAAUCUGCCCCUAAGUGAGGAAUAACUCCGCGAAAGCGGGGCUAAUACCGCAUGAAACUCUGAAGCAAACGCUUUCAGAGUCAAAGCCUUUCGAGGCGCUUGGGGAUGAGCUUGCGCCCUAUUAGCUAGUUGGUGGGGUAAUGGCCUACCAAGGUAAUGAUGGGUAGCCGGCCUGAGAGGGUGUACGGCCACACUGGAACUGCGACACGGUCCAGACUCCUACGGGAGGCAGCAGUGGGGAAUUUUGCGCAAUGGGCGAAAGCCUGACGCAGCGACGCCGCGUGGAGGAUUAAGGCCUUCGGGUUGUAAACUCCUGUCAGAGGUGAAGAAUGCUCCCUUAGGGGAGUUUGACGGUAACCUCAGAGGAAGCCCCGGCUAACUACGUGCCAGCAGCCGCGGUAAUACGUAGGGGGCGAACGUUGCUCGGAAUUACUGGGCGUAAAGGGUGUGUAGGUGGCUGAGCAAGUCGUUGAUGAAAUCCCGAGGCUCACCCUCGGAACUGUCUUCGAAACUGCUCAGCUUGAGGAUAGUUGAGGAGAACGGAAUUCCCGGUGGAGCGGUGAAAUGCGUAGAUAUCGGGAGGAACACCAGAGGCGAAGGCGGUUCUCUGGGCUAUUCCUGACACUGAAACACGAAAGCUAGGGGAGCAAACGGGAUUAGAUACCCCGGUAGUCCUAGCCGUAAACGAUGGGCACUAGAUGUUUCUACUUUGAUGUAGGGUGUCGAAGCUAACGCGUUAAGUGCCCCGCCUGGGGAGUACGGUCGCAAGGCUGAAACUCAAAUGAAUUGACGG